UGCUGGACCAUCCCUGAGGCCUGCAGAGGAGACAUGAUGUGUAUUAACCAAAAUGGUGGGUAUUUAUGCAUCCCCCGAGCAAACCCCACGUAUCGAGGGCCCUACUUGAACCCCUAUUUGACCCCCACUCAGGUCCAUACCCAGCAGCUGCCCCACCGCUCUCAGCUCCAAACUAUUCCACAAUCUCCAGGCCUCUUAUAUGCCGCUUUGGAUACCAGAUGAAGGCAACCAGUGUGUGGAUGUGGACGAGUGUACAACAGAUUCCCACCAGUGCAACUCUACCCAGAUCUGCAUCAACACUGAAGGCAGGUACCCCUGCUCCUGCACCGAUGGAUACUGGCUACUGGAAGGCCAGUGCUUAGAUAUUGAUGAAUGUCACUAUGGUACUGCCAGCAGCUCUGUGCGAAUGUUCCUGGAUCCUACUCUUGUACAUGCAACCCUGGUUUUACCCUCAAUGAGGAUGGAAGCUCUUGCCAAGAUGUGAACGAGUGUGUAACUGAGGACCCCUGCGUGCAAACCUGCAUCAACACCUAUGGCUCUUUCGUCUGCCACUGUGACCUAGGAUAUGAACUUGAGGAAGAUGGUGUUCACUGCAGUGAUGUGGAUGAGUGCAGCUUCUCUGAGUUCCUCUGCCAACAUGAAUGUGUGAACCAGCCCGGCAUGUACUUCUGCUCCUGCCCUUCAGGCUACAUCCUACUGGAUGACAACCGAAGCCGCCAGGACAUCAAUGAAUGUGAGCACAGAAAGCACACAUGAAACCUGCAGCAGACUUGCUACAAUUUACAAGGGGGUUUCAAACGCAUUGACCCCAUCCGAUGUGAGGAGCCUUAUCUGAGGAUCAGCGAUAACUGCUGUAUGUGUCCUGCUGAGAACCCUGGCUGCAGAGACAAGCCCUUUACCAUCUUGUACCUGGACGUGGAUGUGGUGUCAGGACACUUCGUUCCUGCUGACAUCUUCCAAAUGCAAGCCACGACCUGCUACCCUGGGGCCUAUUACCUUUUCCAGAUCAAAUCUGGGAACGAGGACAGAGAAUUUUAUGUGCAGCAAAUGGGCCCCAUCAGCGCCAUCCUAGUGAUGAUGCGCCCCCUCAAAGGGCCCCGGGAAAUCCAGCUGGACUUGGAAAUGAUCACUGUCAACACUGUCAUCAACUUCAGAGGCAGCUCUGUGGUCCCACUGUGGAUAUAUGUGUCUCAGUACCCAUUCUGAGCCUUGGGCUGGAGCCUCUGAUGCUGCCUCUCAUCAGCACCAAGGGACAGGAGAAGAGAGGAGAGGAAACAACAGAGAGAAUGAGAGUGAGACAGACGUUAUGCAUUUCCUGCUGAACAUUUCCCCAAAGAGUCAGCCCCGACGUCCUGACUCCCACCAGUACUAUUGCAGACCUGUCGCCCUGAAGGACAUGCCACCCCCAGUUCCUAUGAUGCAGUUAUCAAAAAGUAUUAUCACUGGCUCCCUGAUAUAAGAUUGUUGGUGAUUUUUCAAGGCCUUCAGUUUAUUUCCAUGUUUUUUAAGGAACAUAGAUUAGGUUUGUGGUGGUCUAUGUUCAAAGACUGUGAACAGCUUGCUGUCACCUCUUCCACUCCUUCUCUCACUGUGUUGCUGCUUUGCAAAGACCUGGGAGCUGGUGGGGAAUGCUCGGAGUAGCUAGUUUGCUUUUUGCAUACACUGAGAAGGCUAUGUAAACAAACCGCAGCAGUAUCGAAGGGUUUUCAGAGAAUGAAUUUCAAAACCAUGUCUGGUAUUUUCAGCCAUAAAAGAAGAUUGAAUUG